CAACCCUCAAGCAUUGCUUGGUGUUGGGGCACUGCUUUUACCCAAAAGCAGGCCCUGAAAUCUAGUGGCGAGCUCGCCAGGACCCCGAGCGCAGUAGUUAAACCCUCGCUUUGGAAGGCCCUGGCGGUGCCCUGCCGUUAAACCCCCAACUUUUGAGA
rnacentral:misc_RNA from 3 species